GAGGUCACCGGAGCACCUUCCACCCUCAGCGACCACACCUUCGCCAAUCUGAUUCUCUCUGGGCCAGCUCACCCUGAGCUUUGAUGCGCUGACGCCCUGCCUGAGGACCUGUUCCUCGGCUUGGACGCCUGGAGUCCCUCCAGCUGCAGGGGCAACCAGCUCCAGACCCUGCCCGGGCGGAUCUUCCUGCCCCUGCAGCAUCUGAAGUCCCUCGACCUGGGCCAGAACCACCCUCGCCUGGCUCCCAGAGGGGCUGCUCUACCCCCCUCCAGCCUGCAGUCCCUGAGGCUCAGUGACAACCGGCUGUCCCAGGGCCUCCGUCCGGGCAUCUUCGCCCACCUGGGCAGCCUGCAGGAGCUCUUCCUGGAUGGCAACGCCAUCCGAGAGCUGCCCCCGAGGCUGUUCUCGGGCUCUUCCACCUGGAGAGGCUAUGGCUGCAGCACAACGCCUAUCCACCACCUGCCCGCCACCAUUUUCUCUCUGGACCCAUGCGAACCUAACGGCCCUGAGCCUGCAGGGCAACGCGCUGUAGACACUUCCCGCUGGCCUGUUCUACCUGCACCCCGCACCUGCGCAGCCUGUCCCCUGUCCCACAACCAGCUGGUGAUGUUUGUGGAUGGUGCCUUUGCCAACCUGUCCAGCCUAGAGUUCCUUGCGUGGCCCACACAAUGCCAUUGCACAGCUCCCAGCCGGGCUCUUCCGGGAUCUGCAGGCGCCUGCUGCUCCAGCUGCACCUGGGCAGCAACAACCUGACAGCCCCUGCCCUCUGGGCUCUUCCACAACCUGUCCAGCCUUGAGCUGCUCAACCUCUCCCGAACCAGCUGAGCACGCUGCCUGCUGGCCUCUUCAACACCAACUACAACCUCAACCUCGCCCUCUGCACUGCAACCCAUGGCACUGCGACUGCCACCUGGCCUGGCUUUCAGGGGUGGCUGCGCUCUGGAGCGACCAGUUGCUCCACACCCGGACCUACUGUGCUAGGGCCUGCCCACCUGCGCGAGGCCAGGUGGUGCCCACCUUGAGGGAGGAGCAGCUGGUGUGCUCCGCGGUCCGGGCACCCAGGGCCGGACCACAGACUGGCCGGGGUAGGCUGGGACGCAGUGGUGGCUGGGACAGGGCGGCCCGGAGCCGGUGUACCUACAGCAACACAGAGGGCACAGUGGUGCUGGCCCGUGACGAGGGCCAGUGCCGCUGGCUGAAUGUCCAGCUGUCCCCCCCGGCAGGGUGAGGGCUUCCUGGCGAUGAUGUUCAAUGCCAGCCAGGGGUGGGACCUGAAGUCCAGCUGUGGCUCUGUGAGGGUCACCGUGUCCCCCAGGGCUCAGGCAGUGGGGCCCUAGGGGCACAGAGCCGGAGCCUGGGCAGGUGGGGGCAGAGGAGCUGGAGUCCUUGAAGCUCUGAGGGACGCGGCCGCAUCUCCAGGGUGGGAGGCGGAGUCUGGUCCCCUCCCCUUCUUCCCUCACCGGCCCCCUCUCAGAGUCUGAACACCCUUGAGAGCUGCUCUGAGGCCACAAUACCCCCGCCAUCCAUCCCCUCUCUCCAGGUCCCGGUCCACGGUCCCCCCCACCGGCACCCAGCCCAGCAGGAUGGUCCCCACAAUCCCAAACACCCCGGAGUCUCCAUGCUUCUGACACCCAGUUCAAAAGCCAGGGUCUGUUCAGAUUUCUUUGUUCUAAUUGGAUGCGGAGGAUAAAUGAGGACAAUAGGGGCAGAGGGGCCUCGAGUUGGGUGUGGCCUGGAUUCCUGUGGGGAAUCCCCGUCCACCAUCCACCUCCUCCGCUGCAUCCAGGAGAAACCAAGGCAAGCUGGUACCGUGGGAGGGCUGUAGCCCAGUCCGGGCCUCUGGGACCCGAAAGCCCCAAGGAUUCGGUAGUGGCUGCGCCCAGGUGGGCACUGGAGAUGGCGGCUCCCUGAGGAGGGAGAAGAGCCCCGGAGACACGGAAGCAGCAGCAGGGGUGGCCUGCUGUGGUCCUUGGCUUGCCCGAUGUCCCUGGACACCCGCACCCCGUCUCCAUGUGGGGCUCUGACGCCAGCGUCUGAGCCAAGCUCUGUCCCCACUCCUCCGCGGGCCCUGGCUGAGCACUUUCCUGGCCGCCCUCCCCUCAUCCGGAAGGCUGGCCAGCUUCCAUGGCGCCUUCUUCAGCCCUACUUGGUGCCCUGGACCACACCAAGGCGCAGGCUUCCUGGGUGGAGGGGAGAGACGGCCCGAGGUACAGCGGCCGGCUGCAGCUCAGAGUGUGGGGAGACACAGAGAGAAGACACAAAGCAGGGGUCUCAGGGAGCCUGGCCUCCUGUGACAGGAGUCCUAGGGAACCAGCAGUGUGUCCCUGCCAGAGGCCAGGGCUGGGCUCAGCCGGGAGGGCACAGGCAACCUGGGCAGGAGGGCUGGAGAUCUACACAGGCAGGGCAGGGCCAGGGCUGGGGCCUGGGCGCCAACUCUGGGGUUCAGGAAGGGCGCUCAGCCGUGGUGUGCAAGGCGGGCAUCCCCUCUGGGCGCAGUUGUUCUGCAGGGUCUGUCGGGGCAAAAGACAGGCAGGACCUCUUCAGCCAAGAGGGUGGGACACUAAGGAGAAAGCCUAGCCACACACACAGGUGGGUGCAGAGCCCUGACCAGGAACCACAGAAUUGCAGCAGAAACACAGAUUGGUGCAAGCACUGUAGAAAUUGGGGUGGAGAUUCCUCAAAGAACCAACAUGAGAAAUUCCAUUCCACCCAGCUAUUCCCCUUCUAGGUGUCUUCCGGAAAGAGUUAAAGGCAUCCUAUUACAGUGAUCCAUGCACACCCAUUUUUAUAGCAGCACAAUUCAUAACAGCUAAAUCUUGCAAAUAGCCCGUAUAUCCAUUAGCAGAUGAGUGGCUAAAGAAAACGCUCAUAUUUACACCCCAAUGGAGUACUACUCUUCCACAAAGAAGGAUAAACAGGGUGGGGAUUUAGCUGAGUGGCACCGAAGCCUGCCUUGCAAGCUCAAGGUCCUGAGUUCAAUCCCCAGUACCAAAAGAAGGAUAAACUUGUGUCAUUUGUAGGAAAAUGGCUGCAUCUUGAGACCCUAGGUUAAGUGAAAUGAAUCAGACACACAAGUUUAAAUAUGGUUUAUUUUAUAUAAGAAACCCAAAGUAUAAAUAAGUGAAUGAACAAAAUAAAAAGCAGGCAAUAGGAGACAGAGAUAGAUCUUUCAGCAAAGGGAAGGGGAUCGAGAGAUGAAGGGAGGGGAAGGGGAUGAGAAGGAACUUCGAUGUGUUACACGCCUGCACCAACUCUUCACAAGGCAUGUGGUCACUGCACUGCAAAAAUAAAGCUGAGAAAUGAAAGUAGCGGAGGCAUCACCUGCAUCUGUUGGUCCCAGGGAAACUCGGAGGCUGGGGACGCCGAGUGGGGCCUGGCCAGGGCUCCAGUGUCGCCCUCUGAGAACAGUCCCACAGCUCCGAGCCCAGGAGGCUGGCGAGGGAG
rnacentral:lncRNA from 1 species